UACGGAGGGGGCUAGCGUUGUUCGGAAUUACUGGGCGUAAAGCGCACGUAGGCGGCUUUGCAAGUUAGAGGUGAAAGCCCGGGGCUCAACCCCGGAAUUGCCUUUAAAACUGCAUCGCUAGAAUUGUGGAGAGGUAAGUGGAAUUCCGAGUGUAGAGGUGAAAUUCGUAGAUAUUCGGAAGAACACCAGUGGCGAAGGCGGCUCACUGGACUGGUAUUGACGCUGAAGUGCGAAAGCGUGGGGAGCAAACAGG
rnacentral:rRNA from 1 species